rnacentral:rRNA from 1 species
CCGCAUACGUCCUACGGGAGAAAGCAGGGGACCUUCGGGCCUUGCGCUAUCAGAUGAGCCUAGGUCGGAUUAGCGAGUUGGUGGGGUAAUGGCUCACCAAGGCUAGGAUCCGUAACUGGUCUGAGAGGAUGAUCAGUCACACUGGGAGUGAGACACGGUCCAGACUCCUACGGGAGGCAGCAGUGGGGAAUAUUGGACAAUGGGCGAAAGCCGGAUCCAAACAGGCCGCGUGUGUGAAGAAGGUCUUCGGAUUGU